rnacentral:piRNA from 1 species
UUGGAAAUAAUAGCUGGGAACUUGCAGCCC